GAAUAUAAGAUUUUAUAAUCUUGAAAAUAAUGUUAUUAUGCUAAGGCUCAUUAAUAACAUUUUAAUGAUUAUGAAAGCAAGAAAAGACCUACACAAUGAACAUGGGAAGUAAAACCCUGAGUGAGAUGCAAUUCUCAGACAGGUCUAUUGCUUGAAAUGAAAUAUCAAAUAAACCAUCCCCGAAGGGGACAUUCCAGCAUAAAGCUCCUGAUUUCUAUAAACCUUCUCACUCGAAUCAGCUGAGUAUUGACAAUAAAUAAGAAAUAAAUAGAUGAGUUACAGCUUGAGCCUGCAUGCAUAUUCACAAAUGCGAAGGACAAAUGUAGGCACGUGAAUUGUUCAUCAACCACGGCACUGCGAGUCAGAGAACUCUAAUAUAAUUAUAAGAAGGGAAAAAAAAAAAUAGUUAUGACAAAGCCAGGCAAGAGGGUGCUUUGGCGAUUUGCUUUCAUGGUCAAUUCUUGGCUUGUUUAUCAGCCUUUCUUUUGGCUUUUCUUUCUCUAGAGCUGAGAGAUUGCCUGAACCCUCCUUCGUCUUCUUCUGACUCUUCCAAGUCCCUGAAAGAUUUCUCUCUAAGCUCGGAAAAGCUUACGGCAUAGAAAGUAACAGCAGCAGCAGCUACAAUUCCCAGUACAGGAAGUGCCAUUUGCAUUCCUCCCUCCAUUUUUCCUGGUCUCUUUUCUCUUCUAGAUGAUGCUCAGAGGAUUUCGUUUUGCAUUAUUUUUUUGAGAUGGAGGAUUUCGUUUUGUUGUUAAAGGAUAAGGUAUUAUAUAUGGUCUAUUCUCAUCUAGAUGAUGCUCAGAGGAUUUCGUUUUGCAUUAUUUUUUUGAGAUGGAGGAUUUCGUUUUGUUGUUAAAGGAUAAGGUAUUAUAUAUGGUCUAUUCUCA
rnacentral:misc_RNA from 1 species